GCCACGUGGGGCCCCUCUGGGCAGCGAUCCGGCAGGCAGAGAAUGGCUCCCGCCCGGGGCUGGCGGCAGACGCUGGUGCCCACAAGGAGCCAGGGUCCAAUCGCAACGGAAUGCAGGGCUCCCUGAGGAGGCUCGUACGUGUCUGCGAUCAGCCCUCGGCGGUGGCCUCCACAGCCCCGCGAGUGCAGGCGGCUUGCCCCACCGAGCCGGUCUGCGCCUGGCCAAGGAGGAGGGCCAUCCAGAGCGGGCGGGGUGCAGGCAGGACAAGACCCUCCCGUCGCCUCCGGAGCAGCCAGGGCAGGAGCGGGGGCAGGG
rnacentral:lncRNA from 1 species